UCUACGGUAGCAGCAGUGCGCGUAUCGCAUGGGCGCAGCGUGACGCGCAUACCGCGUGAGGAGUAGGCUCUUGGGUCGUAACUCGUAUCUCAGGAAGAGACAAUGACGUACAUGAGAAUCAGCAUCGGCUAACUCCGUGCCAGCAGCCGCGGUAAUACGGAGGAUGCAAGCGUUAUCCGGAAUCAUUGGGCGUAAAGCGUCCGCAGGUGGCUGUUCAAGUCUGCCGUCAAAGCCCGGGGCUCAACCCUGGAGAGGCAGUGGAAACUGAGCAGCUGGAGUGCGGUAGGGGCAGAGGGAAUUCCCGGUGUAGCGGUGAAAUGCGUAGAGAUCGGGAAGAACACCGGUGGCGAAAGCGCUCUGCUGGACCGCAACUGACACUCAGGGACGAAAGCUAGGGGAGCGAAUGGGAUUAGAUACCCCAGUAGUCCUAGCCGUAAACGAUGGACACUAGGUGUGGCGCGUAUCGACCCGGCAGUGCCGUAGCUAACGCGUAAGUUGCCGCGUGGAUACGA
rnacentral:rRNA from 2 species